rnacentral:rRNA from 1 species
GGGUUGUGAGGUUAAGCGACUAAGCGUACACGGUGGAUGCCCUGGCAGUCAGAGGCGAUGAAGGGCGUGCUAAUCUGCGAUAAGCGCCGGUAAGGUGAUAUGAACCGUUAUAACCGGCGAUACCCGAAUGGGGAAACCCAGUGUGAUUCGUCACACUAUCAUUAACUGAAUCCAUAGGUUAAUGAGGCGAACCGGGGGAACUGAAACAUCUAAGUACCCCGAGGAAAAGAAAUCAACCGAGAUUCCCCCAGUAGCGGCGAGCGAACGGGGAGGAGCCCAGAGCCUGAAUCAGCAUAUGUGUUAGUGGAAGCGUCUGGAAAGGCGCGCGAUACAGGGUGACAGCCCCGUACACAAAAGCGCAUGUGCUGUGAGCUCGAUGAGUAGGGCGGGACACGUGGUAUCCUGUCUGAAUAUGGGGGGACCAUCCUCCAAGGCUAAAUACUCCUGACUGACCGAUAGUGAACCAGUACCGUGAGGGAAAGGCGAAAAGAACCCCGGCGAGGGGAGUGAAAAAGAACCUGAAACCGU